AGCUCCAAUAGCGUAUAUUAAAGUUGUUGCAGUUAAAAAGCUCGUAGUUGGAUUUGUGGCAGUGUUUGGGAACCUCUUUUGGAUUCCUGAACACAGCCAUCCUUGGGAGGAAUUUGUGUGGCAUUAGGUUGUUGCAUGGGGGAUACUCAACGUUUACUGUGAAAAAAUCAGCGCGUUCAAAGCAAGCUUAUGCUGUGAAUGUAUUAGCAUGGAAUAAUAAGAUAGGACCUUGGUACUAUUUUGUUGGUUUGUGCACCGAGGUAAUGAUUAAUAGGGACAGUUGGGGGUAUUCGUAUUCCAUUGUCAGAGGUGAAAUUCUUGGAUUUUUGGAAGACGAACUACUGCGAAAGCAUUUACCAAGGAUGUUUUCA
rnacentral:rRNA from 1 species